rnacentral:rRNA from 1 species
UACGGGGGGGGCAAGCGUUGUUCGGAAUUACUGGGCGUAAAGGGCUCGUAGGCGGCCAACUAAGUCGGACGUGAAAUCCCCAGGCUCAACCUGGGAACUGCGUCCGAUACUGGAUGGCUUGAGUUCGGUAGGGGAGACUGGAAUUCCUGGUGUAGCGGUGAAAUGCGCAGAUAUCAGGAGGAACACCGGUGGCAAAGGCGGGUCUCUGGGCCGAAACUGACGCUGAGGAGCGAAAGCUAGGGGAGCAAACGGG